CAGUAGCUCAGCAAGAACUUAAGUAUAAUCAUGCCAGAUUAGUAAACUAUCGCAAGGCUUGAUCGAUCAGAUUGAUAAUAGUUUAACACAUGUGACAUGUCGUACGAAAUUGAGAUCCUGAACACUCCUACCCAGGUUGUGUAAACCUUUAUUUCGCCUACGUCGAGGGACAAAGUCUUUUCAUGGUCCUGAAAGACGUGGCACUCUCAAGCGGAAGUGCUUGCACCUCAGCAUUGCUGGAACCUUCAUAUAUUUUGCGGACCAUUGGCGCUGAAGAAGAUUUGGCGUAUUCUUCUAUUCGAUUUGAAAUUGGGCGAUUCACCACCGAAGCUGAGGUUGAUUACACGGCACAAAAGUGUAUUCAUCAAGUCACCAAACUUCGAGAAAUGAGGUAUAUACCGACCGGGUUUGGAAUUCCCCGACAAAAAAUUUAUUUCACUUCCGCUAAAAAUGUUAAUUUGUGCUAUUUCUCCUUCUUCCUUCUUUGUUUGUUUUUGGCGAAAUAAAAAUUUAUAAAUACAGCGUCGUUCUUUUUUAAAAUUAAGAUCAGUGUUUAAAAGUAGAAGAGUAUACAGAGUACAAUAAAAUAAAAAAUAACGACAAGAAAAUGAAGCACAAGACUGCCUAAUUCCAGAAUUCUUCCAAGAUAGCUCUUAGCCGAAGGCCAACGCUUGCA